AGCAACUUUUAUGCGAUUAGCAUUCUUUAGGAACUUCAGCCAAUUUACGGUGUGUUUGUUUGUCUGUAUCUAUACCUCUGGUGCAGCAG
rnacentral:lncRNA from 1 species